rnacentral:lncRNA from 1 species
GAAACCCCUAGUUAGCUGGGCAGGUGGAGGGCAGAGAGGCCUGUCUUUGUAAAUUCUCAGUCUUGAGAAGGAGCAGUGUGGAUGGAGUUUUUGCCUUCCUGCCUUAUAUGUUGAUGUGAUGAUUGAGUUAAAAUAGGCAAAGAGCUUAGAAGAGUGCCUGGCAGGUAGCGGGUUCCCUAAGUAUUAACUUUUACGAGGAUGAUGUUUAUUCCCUAUCACAAGCAGUGCCGCAAGGAAAUCCUUGUUCUGCCCUGGUUUUCAGGACAGCAGGCUGGCUUAUAUGCUCAAGAGCAGGACUGGAAAUGCUGGGAGCGCAAAGAUACCUGCCUCAUGGAGCGGACAUUCUGGUGGGCAGAGGGGAUGCCUUGUUC